rnacentral:piRNA from 1 species
UGCAAAGACUUUAUAGGGACACGAGGGGA